CUUUAGCAAUAUCAUAGAUACAAACAUUCAAAAUGACUAAUCCCUAUACAUCACUUAGGUAUAAACAUUACUUAGGUACAUGCCACGUUAUCAAAAGAAAAGUACAUCACUAAAGUUUCUCUGAAGUCGGGAUUACUUUGGAUGCUGGAGCGACACUGGUUUUCUACUAACCUGCGCACAGAAACAACCGUACGCUGAGCAUGGAAAUACUCAGUGGUAUUACCAUAAUUCAAAUUUAUAACAUUAAUCGAUAAAUUAUAUACAUUUAAUUUAUGUCUAUAAUUAUUCGUUAAUUGUCUCGUACUUUAAAACAACUUGAUAAUUAAUAACAAUAAGCAAUAUUUCAAUCUUGUAUUUAAUUGUAUUCAUACAUUAUUUCACUAUCUCAAUUUUAUUGGAUUUUUCAACAUCUCAUUCUAAUAACUCAUUUCAAUUCAUACAAAUUCAAUCAAUUUAUCAACUCAUUCAUUAUCAUUUCUAUUUAUAUUCAAUUUAAACUUUUAAUCAUUUAAUAAACAUUUAAUAUAUUAAAAUCCAUAAAUAAAUUUCAAUAACUUGUAUUCAAUUAAAUUCAUAUAUAAUUCCACUAUUUCGAAUCAUUUUAUUUUCACUUCUCAUUUCUCAACAAUAGCUAAUUCAAUUUGCUUUUCUUUACUUAUAUUUUUACAUCAUCUCAUACUACCAAAAUCAUUUCAUGAACUAUAUCGUUAACUAUUUCUUGAACCCUUGGUUCAUACAUUUCAUUUCCAUAUCUCAAUUUAAUAUCUCAUUUCGAUUCAUAUUCAAGAUCAUUCAAUAAAAUUUAUAUUAUCAAAAUUAUUCAUUUACCCCUAUUAACUUGACUCGGACUUUGGCGGAUACACGGAUCCAACCAAACACACCAGAAUGGCACCCAGUGCCUCAUCGGAUAGUUCGAAGCAAUAAAGUGACACCCAGUGUCUCAUCGGCCAAGCCGAAGUAAGUUGGUACCCGGUACCUCAUCGAAUCUAUCUAAAGUAACAAUAUGACACCCAGUGUCUCAUCGACUCAAGGUCGAAGUAUCCCUGAACACUUCCAAUCCUAUGGCAUGCCAACUAUAUCUGACUCAGCCCGACUAGUUAAUAGGGUAUUAAAAUCUUUUUUUUUUAUUUCAAAUUCACUUUCGAUUCAAUCACAAUUCAACUCAGAUUCAUUUCCCACUUUCAAAUCAAUAUACAAUUCAAUACCAAUACAUAUUUCAAAUAUUCGCAUACAAUCAUACUUCGAUUCAAUUCAAACCACUUUUCAAUCAAUACACAAUUCACAUAUUCACAUAUCUUCAAAUCUCAUAUCUCGAUUUCCAAUUCACAUAUCAAUUCACAAUUCACAUAUUCACACAUAAUCAUAAUUUAAUUCACUUUUAUUCAAUUUAUAUUUUAAUUCAUUUUCCAAUCAAACUCAAAUCACUAAUUAUUUUUCAAUCAAUAUGCAUUUCAAAUACUCACGUAUUUUCUUCAUUCAAUUCAAUUUCAUUCAAUCCAAAUCACUAUUAUCAUUUCUAUUGCUCACCUAAUUUUACUUAUCUGCAUGCAUUUUAAUUAAAAUAUAACAAUUAAUAAUUAAAUUCGAAUUAUGGUAAUACUAACCGAAAUUUCGCUCGAGUCACUCCUUGUUCACCUUCUCCUUUCCUUUCUCGGACAAUAACUCUUGCACGACAUUAGCUACGUAAUUAAACAAUUAAAAAUAAUUAAUACACAAUUUCAUUAAAAUAUUUCCUUUUAUACCUAAACUUUACCCAAAUUCCAAUUUAAUCCCUUAUCAAUACUAAUUUUAUUUUCCCAUUCUAACUCCAUAUUCUUUCUUAAUUCUUACUACAAACUCAAUUUAGCUCUUCAAUUUCACCAUAAAUCCCUAAUUUCGAGAUUCUUUCAAUUUAGUCCCUACUUUUCAAAACUUACACUUUAUUUUACAAUUAAAUCCUUUACUAACUUCUAACUUAAAAUUAAAUUAAUUUAACCCCUAACACUUCAAUUUAUUCAACAUGAAUAACAUCUAAUAAUCUACUAAAUUUCAAAAUAUCAACAUAAAUCAAGUAGUAUUUAUCUCUAGGAUUCCUAAAACAUCAAAACUAAGAGAAAAUGGAUUAAAUUGACUUACCAAAUGAGCUUACAACCUCAAAACCUCAAUUUUCUCUUUUCUUUCUUUCUUUUCUUUCUUUCCUUCUUUCCUUCUCUGUUUCGGCCAUGCUAUUCUGUUUCUAUUCUCUUUUCUAUCUUUUAUUUCAUUAGUUUAAUAUAAUAACAAUAAAAUAAUAAUAUAAAAUUAUUUACUUAAAUAAUAAGUAAAUGUGUAAUAAUUACUAAUAUAU
rnacentral:lncRNA from 1 species